GAUGAAGAACGUAGCGAAAUGCGAUACUUGGUGUGAAUUGCAGAAUCCCGUGAACCAUCGAGUCUUUGAACGCAAGUUGCGCCCGAAGCCGUCAGGCCGAGGGCACGCCUGCCUGGGCGUCACACGCCGUUGCCCCCCCCGCGCCCCGCACCCAACUCUUUGGGAGCGACCGCGGGGCGGGCUGAUGAUGGCCUCCCGUGCGCUCCGCCGCGCGGUUGGCCCAAAUACCGAGUCCCCGGCGACGUGCGCCACGACGAUCGGUGGUUGAGAGACCUCUGUCGCAAGUCGUGCGCGCCCGUCGCGUCACGCGGGCUCGCAUAGCGCCUCGCGCCGCACCCGGUGCGGAGCUUUCAACGCGACCCCAGGUCAGGCGGGGUUACCCGCUGAAUUUAAGCAUAUCAAUAACGGAGGA
rnacentral:misc_RNA from 1 species